UGGGGAAUCUUGCACAAUGGGGGCAACCCUGAUGCAGCGACGCCGCGUGAGCGAUGAAGCCCUUCGGGGCGUAAAGCUCUUUCAACCGGAACGAUAAUGACGGUACCGGGAGAAGAAGCUGCGGCUAACUACGUGCCAGCAGCCGCGGUAAUACGUAGGCAGCAAGCGUUGUUCGGCGUUACUGGGCGUAAAGAGUGCGUAGGCGGUUUUCUAAGUUCGGUGUGAAAUCUCCCGGCUUACCUGGGAGGGUGCGCCGAAGACUGGGAAGCUGGAGUGUGGGAAAGGCAGGCGGAAUUCCUGGUGUAGCGGUGAAAUGCGUAGAGAUCAGGAGGAACACCGGUGGUGUAGACGGCUUGCUAGACCAUAACUGACGCUGAGGCACGAAAGCGUGGGUAGCAAACA
rnacentral:rRNA from 1 species